UGCCAGCAGCCGCGGUAAUACGUAUGGUGCAAGCGUUAUCCGGAAUUACUGGGCGUAAAGCGCGCGUAGGCGGCUUUGUAAGUCGGAUGUGAAAGCCCUGGGCUCAACCUGGGAAUGGCAUUCGAUACUGCAGAGCUAGAGUAUGGUAGAGGGAAGUGGAAUUUCCGGUGUAGCGGUGAAAUGCGUAGAUAUCGGAAGGAACACCGGUGGCGAAGGCGACUUCCUGGGCCAAUACUGACGCUGAGGCGCGAAAGCGUGGGUAGCAAACAGGAUUAGAUA
rnacentral:rRNA from 1 species